UACGUAGGGGGCGAGCGUUGUCCGGAUUUAUUGGGCGUAAAGAGCUCGUAGGCGGUUUGGCAAGUCGGGUGUGAAAACUCCGGGCUCAACUCGGAGACGCCACUCGAUACUGCCAUGACUCGAGUCCGGUAGGGGAGUGCGGAAUUCCUGGUGUAGCGGUGAAAUGCGCAGAUAUCAGGAGGAACACCGGUGGCGAAGGCGGAUCUCUGGGCCAUUACUGACGCUGAGGAGCGAAAGCGUGGGGAGCGAACAGG
rnacentral:rRNA from 1 species